CCUGGCUUCGACGUGGGUUGCGAAACCUGAGGUGCAUGCCGAGGGACAGAUGACCUCGUUAAUCCAGCUGUACCACUUAUAGUUGCCAACGACGACAACUACGCACUCGCCGCUUAAAAACCGGUAGAGUGCCGUCUGACCGGAGCCGUGCUUGUGCGUCCGGAGCCCCUCGGGGCAUUCAGGCGUCGAUUCUCACAAGCUCGCGGUGAAGCUCGUCCGGGGCGGAUCCGUCAAAACCUUACCGGAAUCGCUGGCUGUCUUCCCUGCCCGUCGGGUAGCAGCCAGUUAAAUGCAAAGACGCGGCUAAGCAUGUAGAGCCGAAGGCGGAGGACCUGCGGACGCGGGUUCGAUCA
rnacentral:tmRNA from 1 species